AGAGUUUGAUCCUGGCUCAGGACGAACGCUGGCGGCAUGCCUAAUACAUGCAAGUCGAACGCUGAAGCACUCUGCUUGCAGAGUGCAGAUGAGUGGCGAACGGGUGAGUAACACGUGGGAAAUCUGCCUAGGAGUGGGGGAUAACAUUCGGAAACGGAUGCUAAUACCGCAUAUCUUUUUGAACCGCAUGGUUCUUAAACGAAAGACGGCUUCGGCUGUCGCUCUUAGAUGAUCCCGCGGCGUAUUAGUUAGUUGGUGGGGUAAAGGCCUACCAAGACCAUGAUACGUAGCCGACCUGAGAGGGUGAUCGGCCACACUGGGACUGAGACACGGCCCAGACUCCUACGGGAGGCAGCAGUAGGGAAUCUUCCACAAUGGGUGAAAACCUGAUGGAGCAAUGCCGCGUGAAUGAAGAAGGUCUUCGGAUCGUAAAGUUCUGUUAUUAGAGAAGAACAAGUCAAGGAGUAACUGUCUUGACUUUGACGGUACCUAACCAGAAAGUCACGGCUAACUACGUGCCAGCAGCCGCGGUAAUACGUAGGUGACAAGCGUUGUCCGGAAUUAUUGGGCGUAAAGGGAGCGCAGGCGGUUGGAAUAGUCUGAUGUGAAAGCCCACGGCUUAACCGUGGAAGGUCAUUGGAAACUGUCCAACUUGAAUACAGAAGAGGUAAGUGGAAUUCCAAGUGUAGCGGUGAAAUGCGUAGAUAUUUGGAGGAACACCAGUGGCGAAGGCGACUUACUGGUCUGUAAUUGACGCUGAGGCUCGAAAGCGUGGGUAGCAAACAGGAUAAAAUACCCUGGUAGUCCCCGCCGGAAAACGAGGAGUGCUAAGGGGGUGGGGGGGUUUCCCCCCCCCUAA
rnacentral:rRNA from 1 species